rnacentral:misc_RNA from 1 species
AAAAUGCGAUACUUGGUGUGAAUUGCAGAAUCCCGUGAACCAUCGAGUUUUUGAACGCAAGUUGCGCCCGAAGCCAUCCGGUUGAGGGCACGCCUGCCUGGGCGUCACGCAUCGUGUUGCCCCCCAUCAUACUUCCCUUAAGGGUAGUCGUGGUGAUUGGGAGCGGAGAUUGGCCUCCCGUGCUUGUUGUGCGGUUGGUCAAAAUAGGAGUCUCCUUCGGUGGACACACAGCUAGUGGUGGUUGUAAAGACCUUUUUCUUCUGCUGUGUGUUGUGAGCUGUAUGGGAAAACCUCAAAAAAGACCCCAAUGUAUCGUUCUAGGAUGAUGCUUCGACUGCGACCCCAGGUCAGGCGGGACUACCCGCUGAGUUUAA